CUAAGGAUGGUUCUUCAGAAGCUUGCUUCUAUCGAACCGUUUUAGAAACAUCAGUGGCCAACGGUCGUCAGGAUCGUUGAGCUGCAUUGGCGGGAUUUCGCCGUCUUCGUUUCUCUUUCUUCGCGGACGAACACGCGCUGGGGCUGCAACCUUGCAGAAUCCCUGGUCCUUGACUGGAUAUGCGUUAGGGGCUUGUAGCUCAGUUGGUUAGAGCGCGCGCUUGAUAAGCGUGAGGUCGGAAGUUCAAGUCUUCCCAGGCCCACCACACUCAUCGAGUGAGCAUUCGUCUUCUGGUUACGGGGCCAUAGCUCAGCUGGGAGAGCGCGUGCUUUGCAAGCAUGAGGUCGUCGGUUCGAUCCCGUCUGGCUCCACCAGAUGGUUUGAUCACCGACUACUCAUACCGUCGUCCGCGAAACAUCACUUCGCACUUACUAGUCCGGAUGGACAGUGAGCUGCGUGAUUUCUGACAUCGUAAAGAGGAGAUCGAUCCGAGUUGGAUCGGGCAACAAGUAAUUGUUGCGCGAUACUUCAUUAUCUCCGGAUCAUUUCGGCGCUCGUGCGUCUUUUGGCGUAGCUCACAAGGCUACAUUGAAAGACGAGCGAGUUGUAAAUGAUCCUUUUAGCGAAGCUUGACCGCCUCGCUAUCGGAACGAUCUUACGAAGCAAGCUGGUCUUUCUAAUCAUUGUCCGGCUGCAGAUAGCGUUCAUCGAGGGCGCGUGCCUUAGAGACUUAGGUUUCUUGGUAAUUCUGCAGACAACAUUCUGCCGAGUGUGUGGACAUUGAUAAUGAGAGC
rnacentral:tRNA from 1 species